rnacentral:tRNA from 1 species
GCGGGUGUAGCUCAACGGAUAGAGCACCGGAUUCCAAACCCGGCGGUUGUGGGUUCAAUUCCUACCGCCCGUG